UACGGAGGGUGCAAGCGUUAUCCGGAUUCACUGGGUUUAAAGGGUGCGUAGGUGGGUUGGUAAGUCAGUGGUGAAAUCUCCAAGCUUAACUUGGAAACUGCCGUUGAUACUAUAAAUCUUGAAUGUUGUGGAGGUGAGCGGAAUAUGUCAUGUAGCGGUGAAAUGCUUAGAUAUGACAUAGAACACCAAUUGCGAAGGCAGCUCACUACACAAAGAUUGACACUGAGGCACGAAAGCGUGGGGAUCAAACAGG
rnacentral:rRNA from 1 species